GCAUACGGUGGAUGCCUUGGCAGUCAGAGGCGAUGAAAGACGUGGAAGCCUGCGAUAAGGCUCGGGGAGCUGGCAAACAAGCUGUGAUCCGGGCAUCUCUGAAUGGGGAAACCCACCGGUCUUCGGACCGGUACCGUACGGUGAAUACAUAGCCGUACGGGGCGAACUCGGGGAACUGAAACAUCUAAGUACCCUUAGGAAAAGAAAUCAACCGAGAUUCCCUCAGUAGCGGCGAGCGAACGGGGACCAGCCCUUAAGCUGGACAACUGGUAGGAGAAGGCCCUGGAAAGAGCCGCCAUAGUGGGUGAUAGCCCCGUAUCCGAAACCUGAGUCCAGUGAAAUCGAGUAGGACGGGACACGAGACAUCCUGUCUGAACAUGGGGGGACCAUCCUCCAAGGCUAAAUACUCCUAACUGACCGAUAGUGAACCAGUACCGUGAGGGAAAGGCGAAAAGAACCCCUGUGAGGGGAGUGAAAUAGAUCCUGAAACCGUAUGCGUACAAGCAGUCGGAGCGGACUUGUUCCGUGACGGCGUACCUUUUGUAUAAUGGGUCAGCGACUUAUGUUCAGUGGCGAGGUUAACCGUUUAGGGGAGCCGUAGGGAAACCGAGUCUGAAUAGGGCGAUUUAGUCGCUGGGCAUAGACCCGAAACCGGGCGAUCUAUCCAUGAGCAGGUUGAAGGUUGAGUAACAUCAACUGGAGGACCGAACCCACUAACUUUGAAAAGUUAGGGGAUGACCUGUGGCUGGGGGUGAAAGGCCAAUCAAACCGGGAGAUAGCUGGUUCUCCCCGAAAUCUAUUUAGGUAGAGCCUCGGACGAAUUCCAUUGGGGGUAGAGCACUGUUAAGGCUAGGGGGUCAUCCCGACUUACCAACCCUUUGCAAACUCCGAAUACCAAUGAGAACUAUCCGGGAGACACACGGCGGGUGCUAACGUCCGUCGUGGAGAGGGAAACAACCCAGACCGCCAGCUAAGGUCCCAAAAUAUUGCUAAGUGGGAAACGAUGUGGGAAGGCAUAGACAGCUAGGAGGUUGGCUUAGAAGCAGCCACCCUUUAAAGAAAGCGUAAUAGCUCACUAGUCGAGUCGGCCUGCGCGGAAGAUGUAACGGGGCUCAAACUGGUUACCGAAGCUGCGGCUGUGCACGCAAGUGCACGGGGUAGGGGAGCGUUCUGUAAGCCUGCGAAGGUGUGUCGAGAGGCAUGCUGGAGGUAUCAGAAGUGCGAAUGCUGACAUGAGUAACGACAAUGGGGGUGAAAAACCCCCACGCCGGAAGACCAAGGGUUCCUGCGCAACGCUAAUCGGCGCAGGGUGAGUCGGCCCCUAAGGCGAGACCGAAAGGUGUAGUCGAUGGGAAACGGAUUAAUAUUUCCGUACCUUGGAUAGCUGCGAUGGAGAGACGGAGAAGGCUAGGUGAGCCGGGCGACGGUUGUCCCGGUUUAAGCAUGUAGGCAGUGGGAUUAGGCAAAUCCGGUCCCACAAUGCCGAGACGCGACGACGACUGCCCUUUUAGGGCGGGAAGUCAUUGAUGCCCUGCUUCCAGGAAAAUCUUCUAAGCUUCAGGCUAUUCGAGACCGUACCCCAAACCGACACAGGUGGUCAGGUAGAGAAUACUAAGGCGCUUGAGAGAACUCGGGUGAAGGAACUCGGCAAAAUUGUACCGUAACUUCGGGAGAAGGUACGCCUCUGUUUGUGAACACUUCGCGUGGUAAGCAAAUGGAGGCCGCAGUGACCAGGUGGCUGGGACUGUUUAUUAAAAACACAGCACUCUGCAAACUCGUAAGAGGACGUAUAGGGUGUGACACCUGCCCGGUGCCGGAAGGUUAAUUGAUGGGGUUAGUUUUCGGACGAAGCUCUUGAUCGAAGCCCCGGUAAACGGCGGCCGUAACAAUAACGGUCCUAAGGUAGCGAAAUUCCUUGUCGGGUAAGUUCCGACC
rnacentral:rRNA from 1 species